AAGCCAUAAAAAACUAUUUGAUUUCUUUGAGAGUGAAUGUGUAUUAUUAGAGACUUGUUUUAAUCCUCAGAUAAAACUGUUUACAGAUUUGACGGAGAACGUAUCUCUGAAAGAAGCAGCCGCAGUUGAUUUGAUCAAGCAAACUAAAGCCAAUAACAAACUUGGAAUACAGCCAUCAGCUGUGGAGCAGCAAGAUGCACCCAAAGAUGCGACACUGAAGCCGCCCACUAGAAGGUCACUUUUCAAAGAUCAAGACAGCGUUUAGACACAAGCGCAUCAGUCCAGUGCAACAAGAAGCAAAAUCUGGAGCUUUUAUCGCACAGACCCAGCCCCGGAAAUAUUUAACCCCAGCCAAAAGGCAGCGACUCUCUGCUCUGCAUACCAGAGCAACGCUUGUGAGAGCCUUAAUGAGUGAGAUAAUGUUGAUGGUAGGACAGAUCCGUUCUAGACCCGGACAGCAACCUUGCAGAAAGAAGGCCUCGCAAGAUGCAUGGGACCGUCGAAAUAAAGCCUCAUCCCUAACACUUUUGGCUGCAUGUCAGAUUCUGUUACAGAAGCAGUUUGGUGACAUCAAGGUGAUUUUAAACUGAACUGAUCACUGUGAUUUGUUUUGUUUUUUUGUUGGUUUGUUUGAUUUUUCUUAUGCUCAUUGUUGAGAAUUAAAAUCAUGUAAUUUCAUGUUAUUAGUUUAGUUUGCAUGUGAGAACAUUAAACUGAGAUUUAACAUGAGUGAGCCUUGGGGAGAGAGUCAGUAAGCGCAGGGGUCAGUGUGAAACGGGUUUGAAGGUUCUUGGCAGCUGCAAGCCGUAAAAGCUGGCUAUAGGGACAAUUAAGCAAUAAAUGUCAACUUUUGGCCAUGGUAUAGAUGCCACAAGGGAGCUUGGCUGAUUUACAACACCUGACGGAAAAAGGGGAAGGCAAAGUCAGUAAGCUUUGAAGUCCACAGUAUAAAGAUGUACCUGGAACUUGAAAUGACAGAGACAUCUGGGUAAAGACAGCCAUGCUUUGCUGAAAGUCCAUCUCUCUCCGUAA